UAUUAAUUUACUUAGAAGUAUGUAUUGAUCGAGUUGCUAGAAAACUAAUUUACUAAAUAUGUAUCAUUUGAUUGUACACUGUUUAUUGAUGAAUUUCAUAUUUAAAAAAUUAUAGAUUCAUUUAAUUUGAAAGUGUGUAUUGACUUUCCUAAUAAUUAAUGUAUUUAGUAUAUAUAUCAUAUGGUUAUAUAUCUAUUGCCGCAACGCUUCAAGCUGAGGUAGAGUAGCUUGGUCGGCAG
rnacentral:lncRNA from 1 species